rnacentral:rRNA from 1 species
CUCAACUUUAUUAGAAGAGACGCAUUUAUUAGAUAAAAAGCCAAUGCAUGCUUUUACAGUAUGAAAAUUGGUGAUUUAUAAUAACUUAGCAAAUCGCAAAGUGAAAACAGGCGAUAAAUCAUUCAAGUUUCUGACCUAUCAGCUUUCGACGGUAUGGUAUUGGCUUACCGUGGCAGUGACGGUUAACGGGGGAUUAGGGUUCGAUUCCGGAGAGGGAGCCUGAGAAACGGCUACCACAUCUAAGGAAGGCAGCAGGCGCGCAAAUUACCCAAUUCUAACAGUUUGAGAGAGGUAGUAACAAGAAAUAACAAUACAAGGCAGUUAAAAUGCUUUGUAAUUGGAAUGAUAGAAAUUUAAACCCUUUUUAAAGUAUCAAUUGGAGGGCAAGUCUGGUGCCAGCAGCCGCGGUAAUUCCAGCUCCAAUAGCGUAUAUUAAAAUUGUUGCAGUUAAAAAGCUCGUAGUUGAAGUUCUGCUAAAAGUAACCGGUCUGCUUUGAAUAAAAGUGGUAUCUUGGUAUGUAUUUAGCAAUGAUGUCCUUUGAAGUGUUUU